rnacentral:lncRNA from 1 species
UCUAGAUCCUUGAGGAAUCACCAUACUGUCUUCCACAAUGGUUGAACUAAUUUACACUCCCACCAAUAGUGUAAGAGUGUUCUCUUACUACACUUCCAAUUUGGCUGGACUUUGAGCUUUGUCUGUGGUCCCCCGCUUUUUACAAUCCCAAGAAACAUGGCCUCAUCCUUAUCAGGACCAGAGAAUGCUCUCAAGGCUCCUCCUUGAGUUAUUGGGAAUAAGUAAUGCUUCUCAAUAAAGCUUCGUGUCAACAAAUCUGAACAUAUAACAUCUCAGCUAGAGCAAGUUACUAAAAAUAGGCUCAAUUUGUACCUUGCAGUCAUGCCUUCAUAACCACUUUUCAAUUAAUCCUGCUUAAUUCAGAGAAUGUAUAAAUAUGUAAUUUUGCAUCACUUUUAAGGCAGCCAUUUUAUUUUGAAAUGCAACUAACAUUAUAUGCAUAAAUUCAAUAAAUAUAAAGCUGUUUUCAAAAAUUGAAUGUUUUUACUUGUAAGUUAUUCUUUCAAUAAUAAUAAAGAGAUG